AUUGAACGCUAGCGGGAUGCUUUACACAUGCAAGUCGAACGAGUGGCGGACGGGUGAGUAAUAUAACGGAACGUGCCCAGUAGCGGGGGUUAACUAUUCGAAAGAGUGGCUAAUACCGCAUACUAUUGGAGCGGCCGCUAGCGGAUUAGCUAGUUGGUGGGGUAAAGGCUCACCAAGGCAACGAGCCGUAGCCGGUGUGAGAGGACGACCAGCCACACGGGGACUGAGAAACGGCACAGACUCCAAAGGGAGACAGCAGGGGGGAAUGUUGGACAAUGGGGGAAGCCCUGAUCCGGCCAUCCCGCGUGUAUGAGAAGGCCUACGGGUUGUAAAGUACUUUUGGCAGAGAAGCGGUAUCUGCAGAAGAAGCACCGGCUAACUACGUGCCAGCAGCCGCGGUAAUUC
rnacentral:rRNA from 1 species